UACGUAGGUGGCAAGCGUUGUUCGGAAUUACUGGGCGUAAAGCGCGCGUAGGCGGCUCUUCAAGUCAGGCGUGAAAGCCCCGGGCUUAACUCGGGAACUGCGCUUGAUACUGUCGAGCUAGAGUGUGGAAGGGGCGAUUGGAAUUCCGUGUGUAGCGGUGAAAUGCGUAGAUAUCUGGAGGAACACCGGUGGCGAAGGCGGUUCUCUGGGAAUGUCCUGACGCUGAGGAGCGAAAGUGUGGGGAGCGAACAGG
rnacentral:rRNA from 1 species